CCUACGGGAGGCAGCAGCAAGGGAUAUUGCGCAAUGGGCGAAAGCCUGACGCAGCGACGCCGCGUGAGGGAUGAAGGCCUUCGGGUCGUAAACCUCUUUUCUUGGUGAAGAGUAAGGACGGUAAUCAAGGAAUAAGCCCCGGCUAACUACGUGCCAGCAGCCGCGGUAAUACGUAGGGGGCGAGCGUUAUCCGGAUUCACUGGGCGUAAAGAGCGUGUAGGCGGCUUCCAAAGUUGGCAGUGAAAGGUCCUGGCUUAACUGGGAUAUGCCUGCCAAUACUGGGGAGCUAGAGGGCAGCAGAGGAAAGUGGAACUCGCGGUGUAGCGGUGAAAUGUGUAGAUAUCGCGAGGAACACCAGUGGCGAAGGCGGCUUUCUGGGCUGUUCCUGACGCUGAGACGCGAAAGCGUGGGGAGUGAAGCGGAUUAGAUACCCGCGUAAUCCACGCCUUAAACGGUGGAUACUAGGUAUGGGGGGUAUCGACCCUCUCCGUGCCGAAGCUAACGCCUUAAGUAUCCCGCCUGGGGACUACGGCCGCAAGGCUAAAACUCAAAGGAAUUGACGG
rnacentral:rRNA from 1 species